CCUUCCAGAAGGUAUCCUUCUGGCAAGGGUACUGUACUAAACUAACUAAAGUGGGGGAUAGUGAGGGGAUAAAUUUUCUUAAGGAACUCGGCAAAAUCCCAAUGGCCCACCAGGGCAUAUUGGAACACGGGCCUCGACUGUUUACCAAAAACAUAGCCCUCGGCUAAUAUGAAAAUAGAUGUAUAGAGGGUGAUGCCUGCCCAAUGGUUGUAUCUAAAAGCGGUUGAUAAAAGUCGACCUCGUAAGGACAAUUGAAUGGCCGCGGUAACACUGACCGUGAUAAUGUAGCGUAAUCAAUAGCCAAUUAAUUGUUGGCCAGUAUGAAUGGCGCCACGAAGGCCCCACUGUCUUAAGGAAAUUCCCAGUGAAAUUGAAUUCGUAGUGAAGAUGCUACGUGCAAUUUGUUAGACGAAAAGACCCCGUUGAGCUUUACUGGAGCACUUACAUGGCCCUGGCCUUCCCAUGCUUGGGAACCGGCCGAAUUUCCCUAUCAAAUGAUAGGCUACUAGAAAAUGGGCGGCUUAGAUUAUGUGGCAGCCCCCCGCUGGGGCAAAUGAAACCCCACUCCCCCAUGUCAAAGGGGCUAACCCCCCCCCUUGGGGGGACAGUGUAAGUAGGACAGUUUGGUUGGGGCGACCGCCUUUUAAAGAGUAACGAAGGUGCGCUUAAGGUGCGCAAUUAAUGACUGAAGCCUGACUGCGAGGGGGACACCCCGAGCAGACACCCCAAAGCCCGCCCGAAGGGCGGCGGUGGGGUGGGCCAUAGUGACCCGUUAAUUUAGAGUGGAAUAGUUAACGAUCAACGAAUAAAAGUUACCACGGGGAUAACAGCGUAAUAUCGUUAGAGAGUUCACAUCGACGACGAUGUUUGCGACCUCGAUGUUGAAUUGCGGCAUCCUGGGGUGCAGCCGCUCCAG
rnacentral:rRNA from 1 species